ensembl:misc_RNA Metazoa_SRP Metazoan signal recognition particle RNA
GCUGGGCGCAGUGGCGUGUGCCUGUAGUCCCAGCUAGGCUGAGGUGGGAGGAUCGCUUGAGCCCAGGAGUUCUGGGCUGUAGUAGUGCGCUAUGCUGAUCGGGUGUCCCCACUAAGUUCGGCAUCAAUAUGGUGACCUCCUAGGAGCGGGGGACCACCAGGUUGCCUAAGGAGGGAUGAACUGGCCAAGGUCGGAAACGGAGCAGGUCAAAACUCUGGUGCUGAUCAGUAAUGGGAUUGAGCCUGUGAAUAGCCACUGUACUCCAGCCUGGGCAACAUAGUGAGACCCCGCCUCUA